UGGGGAAUCUUGCGCAAUGGGGGAAACCCUGAUGCAGCGACGCCGCGUGAUUUAGAAGGCCUUCGGGUUGUAAAAAUCUUUUCUAUGGGAAGAAAAUGACAGUACCAUAGGAAUAAGGACCGGCUAAUUACGUGCCAGCAGCCGCGGUAAUACGUAAGGUCCGAGCGUUGUCCGGAAUUAUUGGGCGUAAAGAGCUUGUAGGCGGUUCGUCGCGUCUGGUGUGAAAGCCCAUCGCUUAACGGUGGGUUUGCGCCGGGUACGGGCGGGCUAGAGUGCAGUAGGGGAGACUGGAAUUCCCGGUGUAACGGUGGAAUGUGUAGAUAUCGGGAAGAACACCAAUGGCGAAGGCAGGUCUCUGGGCUGUUACUGACGCUGAGAAGCGAAAGCGUGGGGAGCGAACAGG
rnacentral:rRNA from 1 species